CCGAGUUUACAACUCCCAAACCCCAUGUGAACCUUAUACCACACGUUGCUUCGGCGGGAACGCCCCGGCUCCUCGAGCCCGGACCAGGCGCCCGCCGGGGACCCCCAAACCCAUUGUUUCCUACAGUAUUCUCUGAGUGGCAAACGCAAAAUAAAUCA
rnacentral:misc_RNA from 1 species